rnacentral:tRNA from 1 species
AAUGGGUUAGGUUAUGUGACUGUCUGUUUUCAAAACAGAGGGGGGUUCUGUGGGCCACUCGUUG